UACGUAGGGAGCAAGCGUUGUUCGGAUUUACUGGGCGUAAAGUGUGCGCAGGCGGCUCCGCAAGUCGAGUGUGAAAUCCCCGAGCUUAACUUGGGAAUUGCGCUCGAAACUACGGAGCUGGAGUGUGGCAGAGGAAGGUGGAAUUCCACGUGUAGCGGUGAAAUGCGUAGAUAUGUGGAGGAACACCGAUGGCGAAGGCAGCCUUCUGGGCCAACACUGACGCUCAUGCACGAAAGCGUGGGGAGCAAACAGG
rnacentral:rRNA from 1 species